rnacentral:rRNA from 1 species
UACAGGGGGGGCAAGCGUUGUUCGGAAUUACUGGGCGUAAAGGGUCUGUAGGUGGCUUGCUAAGUCAGACGUGAAAUCCCUCAGCUUAACUGGGGAACUGCGUCUGAUACUGGCAAGCUUGAGUGCAGGAGAGGAACGCGGAAUUCCAGGUGUAGCGGUGAAAUGCGUAGAGAUCCCCAAGAACACCAGUUGCGAAGGCGGCUGACUGGACACAUAUUGACGCUGAGGCUCGAAAGCAUGGGGAGCAAACAGG